rnacentral:rRNA from 1 species
AUACGGAGGGUGCAAGCGAUAUCCGGAAUCAUUGGGUUUAAAGGGUCCGUAGGCGGAUAAUUAAGUCAGGGGUGAAAUCCCACAGCUCAACUGUGGCACUGCCUUUGAUACUGGUUAUCUUGAGUUAUAGGGAAGUAGAUAGAAUAUGUAGUGUAGCGGUGAAAUGCAUAGAUAUUACAUAGAAUACCGAUUGCGAAGGCAGUCUACUAUCUGUAUACUGACGCUAAGGGACGAAAGCGUGGGGAGCGAACAGGAUUAGAAACCCUAGUAGUCC